rnacentral:lncRNA from 10 species
CAGCUGCCCACGCUCCCCAGUGUGAUGCCUACUCUAGCCAACCAAGAGGAGCACAAGCAAAGGAACUGUCCAUGGAUGAGGCAGAGGAGGAGCUGAGAGGAGCCAGCCUUACCAUUCUGACCACUGGGGAUUGUACCUCCUGAGCUAUAGUGUCUCGCUGUGUCGUCUAGACUGGAGUGCAGUGGUGUGAUCAUGGCUCAACUCCUAGGCUCAAGCGAUCCUCCUGCCUCAGCCUCCGGAGUAGCUGCUGGGACUGCAGGAACGUGCCACCAUGCCUGGCUCAAACACAAAGUUUUUUCAUAAAACUCACUUGGCGGCAAAAUUCUACCUUACCUGAAGUUAUUUACGGGGUUUUUAAUUUCCACUUUGAAUAAAUAUUCACAUCUUG